UAGGGAAUCUUCGGCAAUGGACGAAAGUCUGACCGAGCAACGCCGCGUGAGUGAAGAAGGUUUUCGGAUCGUAAAACUCUGUUGUUAGAGAAGAACAAGGACGUUAGUAACUGAACGUCCCCUGACGGUAUCUAACCAGAAAGCCACGGCUAACUACGUGCCAGCAGCCGCGGUAAUACGUAGGUGGCAAGCGUUGUCCGGAUUUAUUGGGCGUAAAGCGAGCGCAGGCGGUUUCUUAAGUCUGAUGUGAAAGCCCCCGGCUCAACCGGGGAGGGUCAUUGGAAACUGGUAGACUUGAGUGCAGAAGAGGAGAGUGGAAUUCCAUGUGUAGCGGUGAAAUGCGUAGAUAUAUGGAGGAACACCAGUGGCGAAUGCGGCUCUCUGGUCUGUAACUGACGCUGAGGCUCGAAAGCGUGGGGAGCAAACAGG
rnacentral:rRNA from 1 species